rnacentral:snRNA from 1 species
GGAUGUGAGGGCGAUCUGGCUGCGACAUCUGUCACCCCAUUGAUCGCCAGGGUUGAUUCGGCUGAUCUGGCUGGCUAGGCGGGUGUCCCUUUCCUCCCUCACCGCUCCAUGUGCGUCCCUCCCGAAGCUGCACGCUGGGUGGAAGAGGACGGCUUUCCCCAAUAGAGACAGACGGGUCUUCGGUCGAGGGUAUACGAGUAGCUGCGCUCCCCUGCUAGAACCUCCAAACAAGCUCUCAAUCAGAGACAGAGAAAGAGAGAUAUAGAGGGAUACAGAGGGGAAGAUGCAUAGUAAGACCAGAGCACGGCUCAGCUCUGGCUUAUGGU